UAAGACGGAAGGUGCAAGCGUUGCUCGGAAUCACUGGGCGUAAAGGGUGCGUAGGCGGCUUCUUAAGUCUGGUGUGAAAGCCCAGGGCUCAGCUCUGGAAGUGCACUAGAAACUGGGAAGCUUGAGUACCGGAGGGGAGAGUGGAAUUCCUGGUGUAGCGGUGAAAUGCGUAGAUAUCAGGAGGAAUACCGGUGGCGAAAGCGACUCUCUGGACGGUUACUGACGCUGAGGCACGAAAGCGUGGGGAGCAAACAGGAUUAGAUACCCUGGUAGUCCACGCCGUAAACGAUGGGCACUAGGUGUCGGGGGUAUCCACUCCCUCGGUGCCGCCGCUAACGCAUUAAGUGUCCCGCCUGGGAAGUACGGUCGCAAGAUUA
rnacentral:rRNA from 1 species